rnacentral:rRNA from 1 species
AUUGAACGCUGGCGGCAGGCCUAACACAUGCAAGUCGAACGAGUGGCGGACGGGUGAGUAAUGUCUGGGAAACUGCCUGAUGGAGGGGGAUAACUACUGGAAACGGUAGCUAAUACCGCAUAACAUCAGUUGUGCCCAGAUGGGAUUAGCUAGUGGGUGGGGUAACGGCUCACCAAGGCGACGUUCCCUAGCUGGUCUGAGAGGAUGACCAGCAAAGCUGGAGCUGAUAAACGGUCCAGACACCUACGGAAGGCAGCAGUGGGGGAUAUUGCACAAGGGGGGGAAGCCUGAUGCAGCCAUGCCGCGGGUAUGAAGAAGGCCUUCGGGUUGUAAAGUACUUUCAGCGGGGAGGCGUUACCCGCAGAAGAAGCACCGGCUAACUCCGUGCCAGCAGCCGCGGUAAUUC